rnacentral:rRNA from 1 species
UGGGGAAUAUUGCACAAUGGGGGAAACCCUGAUGCAGCGACGCCGCGUGAACGAAGAAGGUAUUCGUAUCGUAAAGUUCUGUCCUAUGGGAAGAUAAUGACAGUACCAUAGAAGAAAGCUCCGGCUAAAUACGUUCCAGCAGCCGCGGUAAUACGUAUGGAGCGAGCGUUGUCCGGAAUUAUUGGGCGUAAAGGGUACGCAGGCGGUUUAAUAAGUCGAAUGUUAAAGAUCGGGGCUCAACCCCGUAAAGCAUUGGAAACUGAUAAACUUGAGUAGUGGAGAGGAAAGUGGAAGUCCUAGUGUAGUGGUGAAAUACGUAGAUAUUAGGAGGAAUACCAGUAGCGAAGGCGACUUUCUGGACACAAACUGACGCUGAGGUACGAAAGCGUGGGGAGCAAACAGG